GUAACUUUUGGCAGCCAAAAAGUCUGUUAUCUCCAAGGGCAUUGACAAUCCAAUGAAGCUUAAUUCUAACUUCCUUGAGCUUCAUGAUGGGGCGAACAGCCUUCCGAUUUGAAGUGUCAAAUGUUCAAGAGCAUUCUCCCAGGUAUCAAGAUUUUGCCAAACAUAACUAUUUACAAGAAGUAUUUCUCUUUACAUUUUUCACCUAAGCAUAUCCCCAGAAUAUAACUGCAACCCACUCAAUGCAGGAGAUAUGCUAAAAGUGUUACCCUCACCUCCAAAAAACGAAGGAUGUCCAAGUAUGGAGAGCUUAGGUGCUAUAAGUGCAUGCCUUUCUCACCAUGACUUUUCUAAGUUUUUAAAACAGCUACUUCAAUUUUGCUAUUCAUUUGUUUGUUCUCUUCUUCUAAGUAUAUCCAUGGAAUUUUACUGCUUGUCAGAUGUAAUUUGCUAUGUUAUUUUAAAUCGUUAUUCUACUAUGGUUUAAAGAACUUGCUAGUGCUAACUCUUGGGCUUAGGAACUCCAAAAUGCCCAAUAAUCUUAAUCAAAGGAGUCGAUCAACUUCAACAUGUCAUCACGUACAUUUUAAAUUUUUGAUAAAAAUCGAGCCUUAGCACUUCCAAUCAAUGCUACCGCGUAAUCAAUAGCUGUCCGUGUCAAUAUUAUUUAUUAGUAUUUGCAUAUUUAAAAUGUGAUAGAUGCAGCAGCAGAAAGUGCAGAAUAAAGGGAGUGAAUGACUUCCUCUAAAGUGGAAUUAUAAAAUCUUUAUUUUCAUUUAGGCUUCGUAAGUAUGUUGCAAUUAUGUUGAGUUUAACACAAAAAAUAAAAUGUUAUUAUUCCAAAAACAAUUACACACACCGCUAUCACACUAAAUAAAUAUUUAACAAAGACACUAUUGACAUCAAUUGUUUUUUUGCACUAUUUAUCUCUCACUAUCUCACUCUUUCUCUUCUACUCUCAGCUUACUCUCUCUGUUCACCCUUUUUCUCUUCACACACUUAUAUUGCAAUAGGUAGGAACAUAUUUAUAGUUGUGUAUGUCAGUGGCUUAUAAUUCUAACAUAAAAUGAUGAGUAAAACAAAUUCCAGAUUAUUCUUCCAAUGGCGGUGGACAGCAGAAUUCUCCAGAUUAUUACAUUACUUCAAAAAGUGGGAAGGAGUUUCUACAACUUUCUAAAUAAGGCCGUGCUGAUUCUUCAAUUCUCGCAUUCUCCCAUUUAGCACCGACUUUUUAUUUUGACUCUUUUCUUUUUCGUCACAUGCAACUAUGCCUUGACGAAUUUUGAAGUUCUUGGUUCCUCGUUCAGUAUAUCUGCCGCAUCAAAUAUUUUUGGUUCUUCCAUGUUUUCUUCUUCAUUGAUUUUUAGAUGGUUAUACUUGGUAUUUGAAUGCUCUUGUCCAUCCGAUUUUCUUAUUUGUGAUUGUAAAUUUGUACGUACUUUAAUAUCUUAUUGUUGACUUUGCUUAAUCUCAUCUAGUGUUGUCUAAUGCACAUGUGUCUGCCAAUAAUUUUGUAUUACGCUAAUAAACUUCUUUUCGUCACUUGAUCUUUGUGCAUCUUUUAUCUCCUCAUAGCUUUGUUGUACUUUUGUGAUCUCUUCUUGUAAUUUAUCUUUCAUUUUCCUAUAAAUCUAGCAGCUCAACCCUCUGCGAUGUUUGCCAAACAUAUGCUUUUUCAAAUACAUCUUCUAAGUUUAGUAGUUUUUCCCUCAGUGGAGUCUACCAAGAAGACUCUUAAUAAACUACAAUGUCCUCCUUCGAGUCAUCAAUCCAAUCAUCUUCUUCUGAGUCAUCAAUCCAGUCAUCUUCGCAAUUUAUUUGCUUAGGCAGGACUACCACUAACAUUGAUUCAUCCUUCACACUUAAGUUUAAUUUCUUCUCUCGAGUUUACUCAAUUAUCGUCGUCGUUGCCUAAGUAUCCAAUUCUUCUUCACUAUUGUACUUCUCUUGCUCAUUGGAGGUUGCUAUAUUGUCUUUUGCUUACAACUUUUUUUUAAACCAAUAGUCUCUAAUAUAAUGGCCUCGUUUUCACAAACAAAGCACGCGCCAUUAGUUCAUUGAUAUUCUUGACCUCUCUUGUUACAAUUUUGUUGAGCUCUCAUUGUCAUAAAAGUUCCUUUAUGUUUAUUUAUUUUAUUAUUCUGUUGACGGGACAGACCUCUUAUUUUAUAACUAUAUAAUGCCUUUUCCUCUUCUUUCUUUAUUGAAACCCUACAUUUUCCUUGUCAGUGCUACUUGAUCGGUCGGCAAAUUCUCAAGAUUGACCAAUGAAGGUUGCUCUAGCCAACCUUGUAUUGUGGCAAUAAAACUUCUAAAUUCAGGUCUCAAUCCAUAUAUAAUUAUUUUUCUCAUUCUAGACUCCGAAAUUUCACUUGAAGUGUCUAGCUCAGAAAUUCACGACAGAAAGAUUUCCCUUUAUUAAAAUAUCAUCUUACUGUUAAGUCUCCUUGAGUAAUCAAGAGAAGCUCAUUUUCUAGCAAUUACAACCUCAAGUCAUUUUUCUUUGAAAACAAUGAGGCCAAAGUGUCCCAUAUUUCCUUCUGUGUGUUCUUAUCUCUUACGUACUCCAACAGUUAUUCCUCAAUUGUCAUUUUUAUAACGAACAAAACCUUACCCGCUUUGAUUCUCAACUUUUUCAAAGCUUUGACCUCUUCUGGCGAUGUCAUGUUACGUCCACCAACUACCUCCCAUAGAUCUUACCCUUAGAGAUAUGACUCCCAUGUAGGUCGCUCAUCGCGACUUGAUUUACCUCCUCUUAAUCAAGCAAACUUUAAUAAAGCUUCGCAAUCUCACUUUGUGCACGAUCUCAAAAAGCUCGAAAUUCUUCCUUGACCGCCUCGCUCGGAUACCAUAUACAACGGACCGCCCGUUCGGCCCUUGAGGUUACGGGACACCCUAAGGUAGCCUUUCUCCACCCAUGCAGCCGACAAGCUACAUAACGUAUAUCCCUAGAAUCCAUCAUCCUCAAAGCUUUCCAUCUUUGAUUAUGCUUGCUUGCCAACCUCUUUGCCACAUGUUGGUGGUCCCAAAAUCUUCUUCGCAGGAACGUAUGCCGUUAAUCUUAGGUAAACCAACAAUGCAAUGUUCGGAGCAAAUCUGCUCUAAUACCACAUGUUGAGUAUAACACCAACAAUAAAAUGUUUAUUAUUCCAAAAACAAUUACACACACCACUAUCUCACUAAAUUAAUAUUUAACAAAGACACUAUUGACAUCAAUUGUUUUCCAGCACUAUUUCUCUCUCACUGUCUCCCUCUUUCUUUCUCUUCUACUCUCAACUCACUCUCUUUCUCUUUCUCUUCAUGCACUCAUAUUACAAUAGGCAGGAACAUAUUUAUAGUUGUGUAUGUUAGUAGCUUACAAUUAUAGAAAAUUCCAGCAUAAAAUGAUGAGGUAUACAAAUUCCAAAUGAUCCUUCCUAUUGCGGUGGACAGUAGAGCUUUCCAAAUUAUAGAUUGCUUCAAGAAGUGGGAAGAAGCCUCUAGAACUUUCUAAAUAAGGCGGUGCUGAUUCUUCAAAUUCGACCAAAAACAAUGAAAGAAAAAAAUAAUAUCCUUCGUUUCUUCUUAGCAAAUUAGAAAAGCCAACUCAUUUUCUAAUACUUCGGCAUCUUUCCAUUUUUUAAACAAAGGUGAUGAACCGAGCUGUAAAAUGUGUUGAGGAAGAGCAAUUACAAGAUAACAGAUCUCAACUUGAGAUUCUUCUUUUUUGUCAUUGUCUUCAAUCUUUCUUUAUUUUUCUUAAUUAGUCCUUAAUUAGUGAGUUUUUAGCUGAAUUUGUUACAUUUUCACGUUUUAUUCACCACGUCACAUGUUCUUCACUCACUGAUUGAUGUCACUUUCAAGGGGUUUACCAUUCUUGUUCAUGUGUGCUUCAAUAACGAUUUUGCUAACGUGUAAUAAAAUGUGAAAACAAACAAAAGUGUUUUUGCUUGUUCAACAAUUGUGUCAGCACAUCUGUGUACUUGUCGUUCAGAGUAAGUUUUUAACUAAAUCAGUUACAUUUUCACAUUUUAUUCACCAUGUCACGUGUUCUUCACUCUUUGAUUGAUGUCACUUUUAAGAGGUUUAUUGUUCUUGUCCAUGUGUGCUUCAAUAAUGAUCUUGCUAACGCUUAAUAACAUGUGAAAACAAACAAAAGUGUUUUUGCUUGUUCAACAAUUGUGUUUGCACGUCUUGAGUGCUCGUCAUUCAUAGUCAAGAUCAAACUUAUGAUAUCGUAUUACAAAUGUUCGUUGCCAGCAGCAUGAGUUCGCACAUGCGAGCUCAAAGUUAAGUUGAAUGGAAAUUCCUGCCACUAUCCUUGUAAAAUUAGCUGUUAACAUACCAAAGGCAGUAUAAGUAUUUAUGCCUAUUUGAAGAAGGAUAAUUCUUAUCAAAGUACUCAAUAUUCUGGCAAUAAUAUGAUCAUGACUCUCUUUAAGUACAAUGAACCAAAAAAAGUAGCCAUGACUAGGUGCGCAUAACAUUGUUUGACUCGAAUAAAGUGCUUCGAAUUCUCUUAGGUGCGCAUAACAUUUUUUGACUGAAAAUUUUUCAUGGAGACGUGAAAGGUUUGGACACCAUAAUAAACCUUAUAAUGCUGCAAUUUGAUAUUCUGCCCAUCAAUCAAAUCUUACCAGAUGGGAUUGCAAAGGAAGCCUAGAAAAGAUUUCAGUUUUAACCAAUCGAAGUGACCCUUUAAUGGGCAUCUUUAGGAUCCACAUUUCUACAUGUCGUAUUGGUGGAUCGGGUCAACAAAGAGAUGCGUGCAAAGCUUUCCUCAUGCAUCCCGUCCUUCAGCUUUGUGUUGGACAGCACGAUUAAGUAUAUCAGACUUGCUUUUUCUAAUUUGAUCUCUUUUGCUCAUUCUAGUAAUAUGGCAAAAAAAUAUUUAUGCAACCGACUCUAAAUUGUCAAAAAAUAAGACCAUAUUAUGCAAAUUACGAUCCAUGGAAAUAAUCUACUUUUUUUGAGAGCACAUCACUUGAUAUUCCAUCAUAAGUACGAUUGACUUGGAAGGACUUUCAGGUAAGGCUUAAUACUUCUACAAGGUUUUUCCAAACUGUAGGAUGCACAAGUAAUUUCUAUUAAAACUAGCAGUGAAUAUCUUAAGGCUCCCUCAAUUCACUUUCUGUAAUCCAAGUUCUUCACUUCAAGUACACAGCUCAAGUCCGUGUUGCGCCUUUACAAUCAACUUUUUGGUGACCUGAGCCGGUCUACACUUACACCUCAACUUUAGGUCACCUUUCAUUUACAAUAACUGAAACUUCAAGACCUCAUUACCAACUGUUGAUAAUAAUGUAAUCAUCUCUGAGUUCGUACAGUUACUCUUACCGUCUACUGGUGUACAUUGGCAGUCUGGAAUAUGACUCUCUGGAAAUUCCACUAAGAGUACACUAACAACAGAAACUAAGCCUCUUUGCCAAUAAGUUUAGGGCCGUCUCCAUGAUAAGUACAUGGCUUGAUUGCUUUUUUACCUUCUGUUGUGCUAAAAUAUUAAGAAGCUGAUUCUUGAUGACAUGUGCUCCUAACAGAGUACAGUUCAUCUUGGAUCCUUCAUACACAUCUAAAGACUAUGUUCUGACAGAUUAUUGUGAUUCAAAGUGGGGAAAAACCAGUCUUAAAUGUCAUUCAUGUACAUUCAUACCCAAUAAAUUUGUAGGUUGUAGCAAAUUCAUAAACUUUUAUAUGUCUUGUUUUCUUUUAGAUUUAUGAAUGACAGCUAAAAGUUUUCAUGCUUAAUACCUGCAGUGAGCAUGGCAAAUUCAUUGAUGCUGACGCAAGGUAUCAAGCUCCAAAGGUUUCACCAUGAUCAAUCUGCAUUCUAUUCUUUUUAACCAGAUAGACGGUUUCUCAGUUAAGUAUCGCUUGCCAUAUAUGUGUGAAAGGUACCAUGAAACCGGUCUUUGCAGGCAAUAGCAUACAACUUCCUGUCAGAAAUGAUGAACAGAACCUUUAUUUAAGAGCUCAUAAUUUUUAGGUUUGAAUCAAAUAUCAUAUUGCAUUUUAGAAUGACAAAAAACACUAGACUCGAUGAAUAUUUUUUCAUAUAGUAAGUGGGCUAACGAUGUAACACAGUGACAAUAGAUAUAAAACAAAGGGAUCUCUUGAAUAUUCUUCUACAGAGAUCUAUGUCAAUGUAAAAGAGAAUGCAACUUGUACAGUACUUGAACAGACUGAACUUCAUUUUCUAAAUUUGUAGAGUGCUAUUCAAUCCUCCCUAUCAAAUAUGCCAAAAAUGCUCUGUAACUUUUGGCAGCCAAAAAGUCUGUUUAUCUCCAAGGGCAUUGACAAUCCAAUGAAGCUUAAUUCUAACUUCCUUGAGCUUCAUGAUGGGGCGAACAGCCUUCCGAUUUGAAGUGUCAAAUGUUCAAGAGCAUUCUCCCAGGUAUCAAGAUUUUGCCAAACAUAAGUAUUUACAAGAAGUAUUUGUCUUUACAUUUUUCACCUAAGCAUAUCCCCAGAAUAUAACUGCAACCCACUCAAUGCAGGAGAUAUGCUAAAAGUGUUACCCUCACCACCAAAAAACGAAGGA
rnacentral:lncRNA from 1 species